rnacentral:rRNA from 1 species
AGCCUGAUCCAGCAAUGCCGCGUGAGUGAUGAAGGCCUUAGGGUUGUAAAGCUCUUUUACCCGGGAUGAUAAUGACAGUACCGGGAGAAUAAGCUCCGGCUAACUCCGUGCCAGCAGCCGCGGUAAUACGGAGGGAGCUAGCGUUGUUCGGAAUUACUGGGCGUAAAGCGCACGUAGGCGGCUAUUCAAGUCAGAGGUGAAAGCCCGGGGCUCAACCCCGGAACUGCCUUUGAAACUAGAUAGCUUGAAUCCAGGAGAGGUGAGUGGAAUUCCGAGUGUAGAGGUGAAAUUCGUAGAUAUUCGGAAGAACACCAGUGGCGAAGGCGGCUCACUGGACUGGUAUUGACGCUGAG